rnacentral:misc_RNA from 1 species
CCUACGGGCGGCAGCAGUGGGGAAUAUUGGACAAUGGGCGAAAGCCUGAUCCAGCCAUGCCGCGUGUGUGAAGAAGGCCUUUUGGUUGUAAAGCACUUUAAGUGGGGAGGAAAAGCUGUUGGUUAACACCCAACAGCCCUGACGUUACCCACAGAAUAAGCACCGGCUAACUCUGCGCCAGCAGCCGCGGUAAUACAGAGGGUGCAAGCGUUAAUCGGAAUUACUGGGCGUAAAGCGAGCGUAGGUGGCUUAUUAAGUCAGAUGUGAAAUCCCCGAGCUUAACUUGGGAACUGCAUCUGAUACUGGUAAGCUAGAGUAGGUGAGAGGGGGGUAGAAUUCCAGGUGUAGCGGUGAAAUGCGUAGAUAUCUGGAGGAAUACCGAUGGCGAAGGCAGCCCCCUGGCAUCAUACUGACACUGAGGUUCGAAAGCGUGGGGAGCAAACAGGAUUAGAUACCCGGGUAGUC